CAGACCUCUAAUCGGAAAAGACUACCCGCUGAGUUUAAGCAUAUCAAUAAGCCGGAGGAGAUCAUUG
rnacentral:rRNA from 1 species